rnacentral:tRNA from 1 species
GUCCAUAUGGUGGAACGGAAUACACGCUCGGCUAAGAACCGGGUCCCAAGAGGAUGUGGGUUCAAAUCCCACUAUGGACA